AGGGCACCACCAGGAGUGGAGCCUGCGGCUUAAUUUGACUCAACACGGGAAAACUCACCCGGCCCGGACACUGGAAGGAUUGACAGAUUGAGAGCUCUUUCUUGAUUCAGUGGGUGGUGGUGCAUGGCCGUUCUUAGUUGGUGGGGUGAUUUGUCCGGUUAAUUCCGAUAACGAACGAGACUCUAGCCUACUAAAUAGAUCGUCGGCUUACAAACGCCGGCGAGACUUCUUAGAGGGACAGGCGGUGAUUCAACCGCACGAAACAGAGCAAUAACAGGUCUGUGAUGCCCUUAGAUGUCCGGGGCCGCACGCGCGCUACACUGAAGUGAUCAGCGUGCUUUUUCAACCUACUCUGUCAAGAGUGGGGAACCCAAUGAACCUUCUUCGUGAUUGGGAUAGGGGAUUGUAAUUAUUCCCCUUGAACGAGGAAUUCCCAGUAAGCGCGAGUCAUAAGCUCGCGUUGAUUACGUCCCUGCCCUUUGUACACACCGCCCGUCGCUACUACCGAUUGAAUGUUUU
rnacentral:rRNA from 1 species